AGAGUUUGAUCCUGGCUCAGAUUGAACGCUGGCGGCAUGCCUUACACAUGCAAGUCGAACGGCAGCACGGGAGCAAUCCUGGUGGCGAGUGGCGAACGGGGGAGUAAUAUAUCGGAACGUGCCCAGUCGUGGGGGAUAACGCAGCGAAAGCUGUGCUAAUACCGCAUACGAUCUCUGGAUGAAAGCGGGGGACUCGCAAGAGCCUCGCGCGAUUGGAGCGGCCGAUAUCAGAUUAGCUAGUUGGUGGGGUAAAGGCUCACCAAGGCGACGAUCUGUAGCUGGUCUGAGAGGACGACCAGCCACACUGGAACUGAGACACGGUCCAGACUCCUACGGGAGGCAGCAGUGAGGAAUCUUCCACAAUGGGCGAAAGCCUGAUGGAGCGACACCGCGUGAAGGAUGAAGGAUUUGUUUCUGUAAACUUCUUUUCUGUGGGAAGAUAAUGACGGUACCACAGGAAUAAGGGACGGCUAACUACGUGCCAGCAGCCGCGGUAAUACGUAGGUCCCAAGCGUUAUCCGGAAUUACUGGGCGUAAAGCGUCUGUAGGUGGAUAAGUAAGUUUUGUAUGAAAGACCGAAGCUCAACUUCGUGUUUGUAUAAAAUACUGCUUGUCUAGAGUCAGGGAGAGGUAAGUAGAAUUGUAUGAGUAGGGGUGCAAUCCGUAGAUACAUACAAGAAUACCAAAAGCGAAGGCAACUUACUGGAACUGUACUGACACUGAGAGACGAAAGCGUGGGGAGCGAAAAGGAUUAGAUACCCUUGUAGUCCACGCCCUAAACGAUGAUAGUUAAGUGUUCCCGUGUCGGGAGUGCUGUAGCAAACGCGUUAAACUAUCCGCCUGAGGAGUACGGCCGCAAGGUUAAAACUCAAAUGAAUAGACGGGGACCCACACAAGCAGUGGAUCAUGUGGUUUAAUUCGACAAUAAACGGGGAAUCUUACCCAGGCUUGACAUGUAGAGAACCCCACAGAAAUGAGGGGGUGCCCGCAAGGGAACUCUAACACAGGUGCUGCAUGGUUGUCGUCAGCUCGUGCCUUGAGGUGUUCGGUUAAGUCCGUUAACGAGCGCAACCCAUAUCGUUAGUUACUAUGUCUAACGAGACUGCCCGAGUUAAUCGGGAGGAAGGUGUGGAUGACGUCAAAUCAGCAUGGCCCUUAUGCCUGGGGCCACACACAUGAUACAAUGGUCGGUACAAAGAGCAGCAAUAUGGUAACAUGGAGCCAAUCUCAUAAAGCCGAUCUCAGUCCGGAUUGAGGUCUGAAACUCGACCUCAUGAAGUUGGAAUUGCUAGUAAUCGUGAAUCAGAUAUGUCACGGUGAAUAUGUUCCUGGGUCUUGUACUCACCGCCCGUCAUAGCAUGGGAGGUGUCUCUA
rnacentral:rRNA from 1 species